AAGCUCGUAGUUGAAUUUCGGGAUUGACGUAAUGGUCAUGCCUUAAGGGGUAUGAACUGUUACUGUUGAUUUCUCACCUUCUGGAGAAACUUGAUGUCCUUUAUUGGGUGUCUUGCGGAUCCAGGACCUUUACCUUGAAAAAAAUUAGAGUGUUUAAAGCAGGCAUUUUUGCUCGAAUACAUUAGCAUGGAAUAAUAGAAUAGGACGGCAUUUGGUUCUAUUUUGUUGGUUUCUAGGAUCACCGUAAUGAUUAAUAGGGAUAGUUGGG
rnacentral:rRNA from 1 species